CAUACAUACAUAUGCAUGCAUGCAUGCAUGCAUGCAUGCAUGCAUGCAUGCAUGCAUGCAUGCAUACAUGCAUGCAUACAUACAUACAUACAUACAUA
rnacentral:pre_miRNA from 11 species